rnacentral:rRNA from 1 species
UGCAAAAUCGUAAGAUGACGUAUACGGUGUGACGCCUGCCCGGUGCCGGAAGGUUAAUUGAUGGGGUUAGACUUCGGUCGAAGCUCUUGAUCGAAGCCCCGGUAAACGGCGGCCGUAACUAUAACGGUCCUAAGGUAGCGAAAUUCCUUGUCGGGUAAGUUCCGACCUGCACGAAUGGCGUAAUGAUGGCCACGCUGUCUCCACCCGAGACUCAGUGAAAUUGAAAUCGCUGUGAAGAUGCAGUGUACCCGCGGCUAGACGGAAAGACCCCGUGAACCUUUACUACAGCUUGGCACUGAACAUUGACCCUACAUGUGUAGGAUAGGUGGGAGGCUUUGAAGCACGUACGCCAGUAUGUGUGGAGCCGUCCUUGAAAUACCACCCUUGUAGUGUUGAUGUUCUAACGUCGACCCCUUAUCGGGGUUGCGGACAGUGCCUGGUGGGUAGUUUGACUGGGGCGGUCUCCUCCCAAAGAGUAACGGAGGAGCACGAAGGUGGGCUAAUCACGGUUGGACAUCGUGAGGUUAGUGCAAUGGCAUAAGCCCGCUUGACUGCGAGAAUGACAAUUCGAGCAGGUGCGAAAGCAGGUCAUAGUGAUCCGGUGGUUCUGAAUGGAAGGGCCAUCGCUCAACGGAUAAAAGGUACUCCGGGGAUAACAGGCUGAUACCGCCCAAGAGUUCAUAUCGACGGCGGUGUUUGGCACCUCGAUGUCGGCUCAUCACAUCCUGGGGCUGAAGUCGGUCCCAAGGGUAUGGCUGUUCGCCAUUUAAAGUGGUACGCGAGCUGGGUUUAGAACGUCGUGAGACAGUUCGGUCCCUAUCUGCCGUGGGCGUUGGAAGAUUGAAGGGGGCUGCUCCUAGUACGAGAGGACCGGAGUGGACGAACCUCUGGUGUUCGGGUUGUGUCGCCAGACGCAUUGCCCGGUAGCUAAGUUCGGAAUCGAUAACCGCUGAAAGCAUCUAAGCGGGAAGCGAGCCCUGAGAUGAGUCUUCCCUGAUACUUUAAGUAUCCUAAAGGGUUGUCGGAGACUACGACGUUGAUAGGUCAGGUGUGUAAGUGCUGUGAGGCAUUGAGCUAACUGAUACUAAUUGCCCGUGAGGCUUAACCAUACAACACCCAAGGGGUUU